rnacentral:misc_RNA from 1 species
GAACUGCGAUACGUAAUGUGACUUGCAGAAUCUCGUGAAUCAUCCAAUCUUUGAACGCAAAUGGCGCUCCCGUUAACGGAGCACGCCUGGCUGAGUAUCAUUGCCCUCUCUCUCCCCCGUGAAUGGGGGGUCAGCACUGCGGGUGCCACGCCGCUCGCCGGCGCGCCCCGUGAAACGCGUCUUUCCACACCGCGCGCGCGCUCGGCCGCCGGCGCCGGGGGUGGCCCACUCUUGCACGCUGUAAGCGACCUCGCUCCUCGUGCCCGGGUGGUGUCCGCCGCCGCGCCGCGCCCCGUGUCGCGCCGCCCCCAACAUGAUCUCAGCUCAGGCGAGAGGACCCGCUGAACUUAA